AGCGAACGCUGGCGGCAGGCCUAACACAUGCAAGUCGAACGAAGUCUUCGGACUAAGUGGCUGACGGGCGAGUAACACGUGGGAACGUGCCUUUAGGUUCGGAAUAACUCAGGGAAACUUGUGCUAAUACCGAAUGUGCCCUUCGGGGGAAAGAUUUAUCGCCUUUAGAGCGGCCCGCGUCUGAUUAGCUAGUUGGUGAGGUAAAGGCUCACCAAGGCUACGAUCAGGAGAUGGUCUGAGAGGAUGACCAGCCGCAUUGGGACUGAGGCACGGGCCAAACUCCUACGGGAGGCAGCAGUGGGGUAUCGUGCGCAAUGGGCGAAAGCCUGACGCAGCCAUGCGGCGUGGAUGAUGAAGGUCUUAGGAUUGUAAAUUCCUUUCACCGGUGAAGAUAAUGACUGUAGCCGGAGAAGAAGCCCCGGCUAACUUCGUGCCAGCCGCCGCAGUAAUAC
rnacentral:rRNA from 1 species